rnacentral:rRNA from 1 species
UACGAAGGGGGCUAGCGUUGCUCGGAAUCACUGGGCGUAAAGGGUGCGUAGGCGGGUCUUUAAGUCAGGGGUGAAAUCCUGGAGCUCAACUCCAGAACUGCCUUUGAUACUGAAGAUCUUGAGUUCGGGAGAGGUGAGUGGAACUGCGAGUGUAGAGGUGAAAUUCGUAGAUAUUGGAAGAACACCAGUGGCGAAGGCGGCUCACUGGCCCGGUACUGACGCUGAGGUGCGAAAGCGUGGGGAGCAAACAGGAGUUAGAA